CCCUCCCCAAACCGCUGCCCCCCCUCCCGCAGGCACCGCCGCAGCCCCCGGUUUCUCCUGCUGGAAGCCAUGCAGCUCCCGGAACUUCAACUGCUCCUGGGCCCCCCUUGGCCCCCCCGGCAACACCUCCUACCUCCUGACGCUCUGGUGAGUCCCACACCGUGGUGGGAACAGCCCUGGGGACCCCCUGUGUGGGGGACACGAGGGGAAGUGUGUGUGCCCCCCCCUGCAUCCCAAGCCCCCCCCGGCUCCGUCCCCAUUCCCUGGCAGCUACGUGAACGGGAGGCAGUGCCAGCGUUUCGAGGUGGGCACGAGGACGACGUACCCCCUGAGCCAUCGCCGAGUCUACGUCCUCACCAACGCCACGGCCUGGGUGGAGGCGCGCUGGGGGGGUCACCUCCACCGCACCCCCAACCUCACGCUGUUCCUCGACGAGGCCGGUAAGUGCCCGCAAAGGGCCAGGAGGGGCCACCGAGCCCCGGUGCCGGUCGCCACAAAGACCACUUCAUUUUGACAGUGAAGCCCGAUCCACCCGUCACCGGGCUGCCCUUCACCAAGACCGGUGGGCAACUGCGGCUACGGGUCCCGUGGCCAACGUGCCACCGUAGGAGCUGGCCGCCGCAGCGGGAGGCUCGCUUCCGGAGGACGGGCGAUGGCAGCUGGACGCAGGUGACGUGCGAAACGGUGACGGACCAGGAUGACUCAGUGAACUGCUCCCUGGAGAGAGAUGGCACCUUCGAGGUCCAGCUCCGGCACAAGCUCCCCCACUGGAGCAGCUACUGGAGUGACUGGAGCAGCUCCAUCUUCGUUCCCGAGGAAAUCCUGGAGAGCCUGGAGCUGAGCUACCAGCUGGGAGAACUGGGGAGAGACGGGCAGCGGGCGCUGAGGUUGGGCUGGCAGGUACGGUGGCAUCCCCGGGGACCCUCCUGGGUGUCCCCCCCCCACCAUUUCACCCCCUUCUCCCUCCCCCAGCGAGCCCCCGAGGGGCAGGGGAACGUCACCUACACCCUGCACGCCCGCAUGCUGGCGUGCCAUUGCGCCGGGCUGGCCGAGGAGGACGCGGUGGAGCUGGGGACGGAGGUGACAGCGCACAACCUCACCCUCUCCGGGGCAGAGUACGAAAUCCUGCUGACAGCGGCCAACGCCGCCGGGACGGGGCCGGCACGGAAGGUCCACGUGCCGGCAGAGCAGCGCGCAGGUACCAGCCCCACGGGAGGGAUGGAGCUCCUGGUGACCUCCAGGGAGUUUUUUUGCCACUGA
rnacentral:lncRNA from 1 species